AGCAAAGACGACCAGCCGAGGAUGGCUGGCGGAGGCGUGGGGCAGGCCGCAGGACCCUCGAAGGAUCGUGUGAGACCCCGGGCAGCCUCUUGGGAGGCCAUUUCGAGGAGAAAACCUUGAUUUCUGCCUCAGGACCCUGGGCCUCAGUUUUCCUAUCUGAGAAGAAGGGCGAAGAGCUGUGCCCCCGACCACACCCGUCGGUGAUGGGGCAAACCGAGGGCAAGCAGAGGAGCGCUUCACUUUUGGUCAUCCCUUGGGCCACCAGGGCCUUCCCGUCUCCGUCUUCCCAUCGCAGGUCCUGGCCUCCUUCACACCACUCCAGGAUACCGCAGCAUCUCCCCCAGCGCAGCAGACGGAGGGCGCUUCACAUGCCCCCGGACCUAAGCCCACUCUCCCCUUCAAGAUCUGGACUCCACUUUUUUGCAACACUCUUAACUUCUUUGGAAGCUGGGAAGCCUCCUACUCCCUUGGGCCUCUCCACCCUGCCCUCAGCUAACUCGUCGGCAAGCCCCAGCCUAGACAUUGCCUGUUUUGUGAAGACAUCUAGAUGCUGGGCUGUCUGUUGAGUGCCCCACCCUGUGUUUGAGCAGCACCCUCUACUUCCCCUGUUCUACUUGCAUGUUUAUGUGCUCGUCUUCCUCAUUAUAAGAUCCACAGGGGAGGGGCCAUGUCUAUAUUAUUCAUACUUACAGUCCAGUGUCUAGUAUCUGGCACGUAGUAGGCACUCACUAGCUAUUGAGAUAUAAAUAUAGAUAUUUGUUGAAUUGAAAAUGAAUUGGGCCGGGCGUGGUGGCUCACGCCUGUAAUCCCAGAACUUUGGGAGGCCGAGGCAGGUGGAUCACUAGGUCAGGAGUUCGAGACAAGUCUGACCAAAAUGGUGAAACCCAGUCUCUACUAAAAAUACAAAAAUUAGCUGGGCGUGGUGGCACGUGCCUGUAAUCCCAGCUAUUCAGGAGGCUGAGGCGGGAGAAUCGCUUGAACCCCGGGAGGUGGAGGUUGCAGUGAGUCGAGAUUGCACCACUACACUCCAGCCUGGACAACAGAGUGAGACCCUGUCUCAAAAAAAAAAAAAAAAAAAGAGAAAAAGAAUAAAAUUAAAAAAAAGAAAAUAAAGGAACCUCAUUCACAUACACCUCCAAAACUCUGAUUUCCUAAAGUUGGGCAUUUCUCAUUGCUGGAGGUGUUCAGUUAGAGGCAUGCCGCCCCCUUGAAGAAAUGUUUAUUUCAUUUGUACAGUGGGUUGGGAUUUUACCUGAAUGCUUUGAGUACCCUUUUAAUCCUAUGAUGCUAGAGAUUGAUAGACCCAUGCCUAUUAUUCCUGUCAGUUCUCCCUGAAAUGUCAUCAGUUCUUCAUGUUCCGCUAUUUCUAGCUGUUGGCCCUACUCGUUUCUGUGCCUAAAUGCCCUACCUCCCACUCCUUUUCUGAGAAAGAUCUUCUGCCCUGUCAGUUAUGAAGUAAAGAUGUCCUAAGAUUCCUGCUCUUUCUUUUUUCUUUCUUUCUUUCUCUCUCUUUUUUUUUUUUUUCGACGGAGUUUCGCUCUUGUUGCCUGGAGUGCAAUGGCUGGAGUGCAAUGGCGCGAUCUCAGCUCACUGCAGCCUCUGCCACCUAGGCCCACCUUGGUCUCCCCAAGUGCUGGCAUUACAGGUGUGAGCCACUGUGCCCGGCCUCCUGCUCUUCUUUCAACCCUCUGCUCAGCAUCUUAGGCCUCAUUGGUGAUGUCCCACCUUGCUAGGUAGCAUCUUUCCUGAAUAUUUCUCCACUAAACAUUCUGAUGUUGGCUAGAUGGCCUAGUUAAUCUACACAUUUCAUUUUAUCACCUUCUCCAGAUGUUUUUUUGUGUAUGUCAGCUGAUACACUCUGGGGAGAAUGCCUUAAUAUAUGGGAAUAAUUAACUCAUGGCCAAGAAGGAAAUAACCAAGGGGACUUUUACUCUGGACCUAAUUCAAACCAAAGAGACAGAGCCUGAGAGAAAGCAGCUCUGUCAUCCUUGAGUUAGUAACAUCCAGGAAGGGAAGGCUAGGGUGGGGGAGUGAGUAAAACAGAUGGCAUUUAGGGAAGAACCAACAGGACUUUAAGAGGCAUGGCAGAGGGGCUUUGAUCCUGGCUAAACCAUCAGGGAAGGCAAUUGGAGCUGGGUGAACAGAUGGGGUCUUAUUACUGAAGAGAAAACGGUAAGGAGGCAGGGGGAAAUGGGACGUGUGCUAAAGCAGAGUGCCUCAUUCAGUGGAUGCAGUGAGAGCAGAGGCUGUUGGAAAAGUGGAUCAGGGAGGACCAUGCCACCAGGUGGGCAUCAGCAGAGUAUCACCCGAGUAUUGCAGAGGGAUACCAAAUAAGUCCACCUGAAGCCAGAGCUGAAACCCUGUGGAGGUCCGUUUACCCCUUCAGAAGUAGUGUACCACCAUCCAUCUACCACUGGAAUCCAAUUUCAGUUUUGGCAAAUUGUUAUAAAUAGGAAAAAGUCAGGGUUCCACAAUUCUGGCAGCACCCAGAGACUAUAACAGCAUCUGCACAGCCAAGUAGAGUUAGGAAACCUGGAUCCUAAUCCUGACUUUGCCUCUGAUUAGAUGUGUGAUCCUGGGCUGGAGCUGUUUUUUCAGUUGUAAAAUGCUGUUUAUUGGUGUUAGGUAGCAGCUAAUAAGGCUGGAGGUGGGGCUGGGUGUAGUGGCUCACACAUGUAAUCUCAGCAGUUUGACAGGCCAAGGCAGGAGGAUUGCUGGAGGCCAGGGAUUUGAGACCAGCUUGGGCUACAUAGUGAGACUCUGCCUGUACUAAAAAUUAAAAAAAAAAAAAAUAACUCAGUGCAGUGGCGCAUGCCUGUAGUCCCAGCUACUCAGGAGGUUGGGGUGGGAGGGUUGCUUGAGCCCAGGAGUUUGAGGCUGCAGUGAACUAUGAUCAAUCACACCACUGCAUUCUAGUAGCCUGAGUGACAGAGCAAGACCUGUCUCUAAAAAAAAAGAAAUUUUUUUUAAGGGUGGAGGUAGGGAAAUUCAAAGCUACUUACUAGCUGUGUGACCUUGCCUAAACUACCUCCUUGGAUUUGCAGUCUGUUUAUUUGAAAAUGUCAUAAGGGAUAAAUGAGAUUCCUUAUGUAAAGUACUUUAUAAAUAUUAAGCACUUACCAAAUGUUAGUCUGUUUUCACAUUAUUCUUCUUGGAUUACCAGAAAUUGGUUUGACCAUGAAUAAACAGGAGAUAAUUUCUUGGGUAAUCUGAGUUUGAAUCCCCUUUCUCUCUCUUACUAAUUGUAUGACUUUGAUUAGGUUAUUUAAUAUUUAAUUGUUCUGGGUCUCAGUUUUCUCAUUUGUGAAAUUAAAAUGUGUUCUUCAGAAUUGUGAGGGUUAAAUGUGAUAAAAGGCCUGACUCAUAUGAGAAAAUGCUCAAUAUAUUUGUUUUGUCAUUUUUAAGGGGUGGUUUUAGGGCACAGAACCCUAAAGGAAUGAAUGGAAUUCUAAAUACUUCGAAGCUAGAGUAGUGAAAGAUUCCAGGGGAACACAGUGCUGGCCUUCUCCCUUCUUCUUGGGGAAGAAAAGAUCUCAGUGAAGUUCCAUGGGUCUUCUCAGUAAGUAAAGAGGAGAUUAACUAGAAUGCUGAAUCUCAGACACUGAGGGGUUAGAGUGAUUGACCAGGGCUGGGUCCUGAAGAGCUUGGUAUUCUAGGCUGAGAAUAUAAUUUUAUUCUAAAGCUAAUGAAGGUUUUUAGGGAGAUGUGCAUUUUGAAAAGGUCUAGGGGCUGCUUGGAGAAUGGCCAGGAGAAGAUGAGGCUGGGAUGUGGAUCGGGAAGGUGCUGCGGUGAUCCAGCAUGGUGAGUGGAAAAGAGGGGGUAGAUCUGAGAGAUAGUUUUAUAUUUAUUUAUUUGUUUGUUCUUUAAAUAUUAAUAGUUCAUCAAGUUUCCCAUCUUUUUUAAGUAGCUCAUCACAGAGUUAUUAAGAAGGUAAAUAUUCCGAGGACUUUGUGAAUGAGAGCUGAGGGCGUGGAGGAAACUAGUAAAAGUCAAAGAUGAUGCUUAGGUGUCUGCCUUGGGUAACUAGGGGAUGGAUGGGGGUGCUAUCCCCUGAGAUGUGACACAGUAAAGGAGCAAGUUUAGGCAGGAAGAGAAGUAGGUAAGUUUGAAUUGGGUGUGAUAUGUCCAAACAAGAUGUCUAGGAGGUGGUUCGGAGCUUAUGAGAGGGAUCUGGUUAAGGGAUAGAGUCAUAAAUUAUCAAAUUAUCACCAUAUAGAUCAUAAUUGAAGCCAUGGGAAUGAAUGGAUCCUUCAGUAGAGAGGGUCAAAGAAAUGAACAAAAUUCCUUGGGAAAUACCAUCAUUUAGGGGGCAAGUAGAGAAAGAGGAACCCAGAGGAAAAGGUGAGACCAGUCAGAGAGAUUGGAAGAAAAUCAUAGGGUGGGGUGCCACAGAAGCCACAGGGAGGAAGUGGGGUGAAGUACCUUCAGAUAAGCCAAGAUCUGAAAAAACAAAUACAAAAUUUAGCAACAAAAAGGUCACUGGUGACCUUGGAGAGAGUGGGUGCAGGGGAGUAGCAAGGACAGAAGUCUCCGUGAGUGGGAGUACGUGUAGACAACUGUGGGGAAUGGAUUGCUUUGGAAGGGGAGGAGAGAGAAAACCAGAAGGAAUAUAGGUUGAGGAACAAUUUUGUUUUGAGUUGGGAGCAAUUAGGACAUUUAACAAUAAUAAACAUGUAGGUAGGUAGUUGAGAGGUGGGCUCUGGAAAUUGAGGGAGUUCAUAUUCCAUGGCCAUUACUUCUCUGAUGCUGGAAGCAAGGAUACGUGCUCAGUGUGAGGAGGUGUGGUGGGGUGGGAAACUUGGAGAAAGAAGAAAAGAUUCAAGAUGGCUGCUGUGGAAAACAGGAGGGAAAGCUAAUGGCAAUCCACAGAGGCUGUAGGGUAGUGGUGGGGCCUGCUGAAGUUCGAGACCAUGGGUGUGGAAGCACUAAUCCAUGCAGUUAUGGGCUUUCUCCAGCAUCUUGUUGGCCCUGAGAUAGCCUUGGUGAGGCUGGUCCAGGCUGGGGUUUGCUGGACAAGGGAAACAAGAAAGGAAGGGAUUUGGAGAUACUGACAAGAGAGGUGGAAAUGGUGGUCCACCAAGAGGAAGGUGAGCCUGGAUGGAGAGGGCAGAUGGGGGUAGUGAGGUUCUUGGCGGAGUGAAAGGACAGAUGCUGUGGGUGGCAGGGAAGAGCAGGGAGGGCAAGCAAUGCUGGUCAGAGUUGGAGGAGCUGUGGGCAGGAAUGAGGGGGCAGGGUGGCUGGGGUGGACAGAGAAGAUCAUGAGAUUGAAAGGCCAGUUUGUUAUAUGGGUUAUUGGCAAGUCUUCUGGAAAGAUGGCCAGUUUGAAGGAGACAGGAACCCUGGUAGCUCCAUGCCAAUGUACAGUGAGUGGCAUGUUUGAUGAUGGCAAGGUGGAGAGAUGGAGUACAGAGCCCUCUGACAUGAGAGUCACACAACCCAAGAUAGUGGGUGCUAAGAAGAAGCCCUCUUGCCCAAGAUAGGUGGGGUGAGGAGGAAGUGAGGCAAUGAGCUUUCUCAUACAUUUUCUUUUCUUUCUUUCUUUUUUUUUUUUUUCAGAUGGGGUCUUGCUCUGUCACCCAGGCUGGAGUGCAGUGGUACAAUCUUAGCUCACUGCAGCCUCUGUCUCUUGGGUUCAAGCAAUUCUCCCACCUCAGCCUCCCGAGUAGCUGGGAUUACAGGCAUGCGCCACCACGCCUGGCUAAUUUUUGUAUUUUUAGUAGAGACAGGGAAUCACCAUGUUGGCCAGGCUGGUCUCGAACUCCUGGCCUGAUCCACCCACAUCGGCUUCCCAAAGUGCUGAGAUUACAGGCGCGAG
rnacentral:lncRNA from 1 species